rnacentral:rRNA from 1 species
AGAUUCCGGAGAGGGAGCCUGAGAAACGGCUACCACAUCUAAGGAAGGCAGCAGGCGCGCAAAUUACCUAAUCCUGACAUAGGGAGGUAGUGACAAGAAAUAUCAAUGCAGAACAAUUUGUUUUGCAAUUGGAAUGAGUUUGAUGUACAACUUCUUGCGAGUAUCAAUUGGAGGGCAAGUCUGGUGCCGGCAGCCGCGGUAAUUCCAGCUCCAAUAGCGUAUAUUAAAGUUGUUGCAGUUGAAAAGCUCGUAGUUGAGUUUUUGUCGCUAAGAGCUAGCUUGUCCUACAAAAGAUAAGCUAAGCUUUUAUUGGCAAUUCUCUGGUUUAAUUUUAUUCGCUUUACGGCGUUUAAAGUUUCAGAGGUGUUACUUUGAGAAAAUUAGAGUGUUUCAAGCAGGCCUUAUGCCC